rnacentral:rRNA from 1 species
UACGGGGGGGGCAAGCGUUGUUCGGAAUUACUGGGCGUAAAGGGCUCGUAGGCGGCCAACUAAGUCGGAUGUGAAAUCCCCAAGCUUAACUUGGGAACUGCAUCCGAUACUGGAUGGCUUGAAUCCGGGAGAGGGAUGCAGAAUUCCAGGUGUAGCAGUGAAAUGCGUAGAUAUCUGGAGGAAUACCGGUGGCGAAGGCGGCAUCCUGGACCGGCAUUGACGCUGAGGAGCGAAAGCUAGGGGAGCAAACGGG